rnacentral:lncRNA from 1 species
GAAGGACAUCAGAUUCAUCUAAGUGCUACACUCGACCUUGUGCUACGGGUUGGGCAAUAUCCUUUUAUUGCUGAGGGCAGUCCUUUAUAAGGUGCUAGGUGCUUCUGCAUUGAUAGAAGGCAUGAUUGAUAUGCUGGCAGAGCAAGUCACCAUAUGAGCGACUAUAAUGCUGACAAGGUUGGUUAGCUCGGGUAACUAGAGCUGUAGGUCAGGGAAAGGUAGGAGGAAGGGCAACUCGGGUUCGUUUGUUUGGAGGGUUACUUACUGGGUCAAGUAAUCUUCUUCUAAGUUGUUGGGGUUAUUGUUGG